UGAACGCUGGCGGUAGGCCUAACACAUGCAAGUCGAACGGCAGCACAGUAAGAGCUUGCUCUUACGGGUGGCGAGUGGCGGACGGGUGAGGAAUACAUCGGAAUCUACUUUUUCGUGGGGGAUAACGUAGGGAAACUUACGCUAAUACCACAUACGACCUACGGGUGAAAGCAGGGGAUCUUCGGACCUUGCGCGAUUGAAUGAGCCGAUGUCGGAUUAGCUAGUUGGCGGGGUAAAGGCCCACCAAGGCGACGAUCCGUAGCUGGUCUGAGAGGAUGAUCCGCCACACUGGAACUGAGACACGGUCCAGACUCCUACGGGAGGCAGCAGUGGGGAAUAUUGGACAAUGGGCGCAAGCCUGAUCCAGCCAUACCGCGUGGGUGAAGAAGGCCUUCGGGUUGUAAAGCCCUUUUGUUGGGAAAGAAAAGCAGCAGGUUAAUACCCCGCUGUUCUGACGGUACCCAAAGAAUAAGCACCGGCUAACUUCGUG
rnacentral:rRNA from 1 species